CUUCUAAUAAGGAAUGCUUAUUUAUCUGCUGUAGCGGCAUCUUUUUCAAGUCCUUUUGGAUCUUGUGACAACACGCUGCUCUUGCUUUCAGUAAAAGUGAGUUCUGUAGCAGCAACAGUAGGCCGUGGUGACAGCAGCCAUCAGUGCCCUUUUCAAGACUGCAGCUGCAGUCACAACUGCGGGAGCUGGUUCCUCUCCCAGUGUGUCUUCUUAUCCAAUGAAGCCAGGAACGUUGCACAGUUGGAGGAGAACCAUAGACAGCCCUGGCAAACAGGUUAGAGUAUGCAAAAUGGCUUCAUUCCGUUUGCCCUCUGCUCCUGCUUACUGGACAUGCCUCCAUCAGCCGUACUUAUUUUCCUGCUGAGUGCAGCUCUCCGGAUUCUUUUCCAAAUGGUUGGUUAUGGUUUUGCCAUUCAUCACCUGGACACUUGGCAGUUUCUCCUCAGAAGUUUUAGCAAAACAAGGCACCCGCUGAGCAGCCAGACUCUAACACCCUUUUCAUACAGCCACGUCCUUACCUCGGCUCCAUGCAGCCAAGACAUUACACAAAGAUGGGUUAUGUUAAACUGUAGUUUCUUUCUCCUUCUACACAGUCUUGACUCAUUUUUAGACCCGUUUCCACUUGCAAUUCCUAGUUUCCUCAUACAACACUUGAAAAACAGAUUUAGUCUGCUUUCCCGUGCUUCUUCUUGCUGACUACAAAUGGAAGGACAGUCAUAUGACCCACAGUCAGCUUAAUAUAAUAACUGUUCAUGGUAAUGCCAAUGGAUGCACCAAAACAUCCUCAAAAUAACCUCUUGUGUGUAAGAAUCAAGUGAUGUCACCACUCUAGAGACAGAAAUAUAUUCCUGGUGAUGGAAGUCCAAUUCUGUUUCCCUACUAUGAAUGCUAUAAAGUGUACAUAAGGGCUUAUCCUUUUUUAAUAAAACCACUCAAUGUGGUGACACUUCUUUGAUCAAUUAGUGUCAGCCCAGGGGAAUCCAUUUGCUAUGUAGUGCAGACAUACCUAUAUAAUGCUGUGCUUCUCUCUAGCAGAAUGACUCCCAGCUCCCUCUCAGAUAUCUUGGACAUUUUUGCUGCUCCCCACUGAAAGAUGUGAGACUGAAGUCAUUUCAAUACAAUUCAGGGAACCACUGUCAUGGUACGUCUCACAGCCAGCACAGAUCCCCAUGCCCUGUGAUCUCGGGGUUUGGUUAUUAGCAGGUAUAGUUUCAAGCCAAAAGCCAGUGAUGGACUGCAUGCAGCACUGGCAGAUAAACUGCAUAUAUUCAUGUACAGUACAGGAGUAAGUGUGUAUGGGUUUUGUCAAGCAGAUGAGUAUCUCACCAGUUUGAGUCCUGAUCCCCCAGCUAAAGUGGAAGAUUUCCAUCACAGGAGGUUUGCUAUGGGCUGAAGAGUUCUUAAUAAUUUUCUCUAUGGCUGUGGAGCAGCAUUAGCAUUUCUGAAGGCCAAAAUCUUGAAACCACAGCAGUGAAACUGAGUUAAGCAAUGGACUACAAGAAACCUCUCCAGAUCAAUGAAGAAAGGGAAGCAAUCUCAGCUGUGAACAUGGCCUCAUGAAAGAAGUGAGCAGACAAGCAGUGCUUCCCUUCAGUUCAGGCCCCUUUCGGUGGAAGUGCAAACUGGCAUAUUGGUUCCACUUAAGAAAUGAAAUCCCACAAAAAGACUAAGUAGCCACCUGGUACAUUUUCAGUAGGACAGCAAAGUGAAACUUUUGCAUCUGACCAAAUCUACAGGCAGAGAAAUAAAUAAACAUCUGUGUACAACUGUAUUGUCUGCAACUGUUCCAUUGAUCUUUAGACUGUAAGUAGAAUCUCAUCACUCUGGAAACGAUUCUUCAGUGAUGCGUAUCAAACUGGCACAGAAAGUGCUUAUGAGCUGCUGGUCUCCUGCAACAUUCCAGGAGUUACUUCUGUCUUCUGCUUAACUGGCUGAAUUACCUUGUUCACAGUACGCUGUAGUAGCUCUCAGACAAAACCAAACCCAAGAUGUUCGUUACAAGUUCACUACCGCAGACCAAUAAGAAUUUCACCUUGUUCCACAAUACAGAGAAUUCUAACCCAACCCUCAGGUUGCAACACUUUCAGCUUCUCACAGGAAGGUCAGCAGAACCUCAAAGAAUAACCACACCCUGGUAUUUUCUAGACCUAUAACUAAACCUGGAUUACCCGUACACCUGCUUUUUUCACAAAACUUUUAAUUGUUAAUAAUAGUAAAAUUCAGACCAAUUAUAAUUGAUCCAUUUAUCCUCAACCACACAGCCAGCCUGUAGAUCUGAAGAUCUGGUAUCUGCAUUCAGCUUUCUACACUUUUAGAUGGAGGCUUGCUUUUCUGUCCAGUCUGGUAAGCUGGCACAAAGAUCAGACAAACCACCCAUGCCCCGCUAAGCAAGUACUUCGCUGUGCCCAAGACAACCACUGCACUCAGGAUACCAUAUGCAAUUACUGCCUAACCUGAAAAACAAAGUGAAACCAGUAAUAUGCAGGAAGGUUCCAUUGCCUUGGUCUGCCAACGCUCUCCUCACAUUCUGGGGAACAUAUUCAGCAGCCCACAACAGCAGCACCCAGAGCUCUGGGUUUGUGGACUAAAAUGGACACAAGUACAAUGGUAAGUAGUUCUUGAAAGCAAAUCCAAGUAACAACAAGCAUCGGUUAAACAACCAGCACAAAAUGACAGAGCCCAGCUAGAGAGGAACCCACAAGGGCAGAGCUACCCACACCCAAUUCAGCUCUUUCAAACUUCCAGCAGUGGGAAAGGAGCUUGCUCACCUCAUGUUCAGUCCUCUUCCUGACUCUGAAAACUGCAAAGUGGCCAAGCAUGAUCAAAUACAAUGACAGCUUUGGGACACCACACCAUCCCUUAGGAUUUGGACCCACAGAUUUUCAUACAGGUCACCACACUGCCACUCAGACAGUAUUCAGUGAAAAUGACUCAGAUAAUGAAAUUGGUAUUGAUACUACGUGAUCAGCCACAGGAAUCUAGUUCUUGACACAGCUGGAUUUCAUCAGCAAAAGGCAGAGCUACAGUUAAGCUAGCUGCAGGUAAAGUGGUAUUUAUUCAUUUAGUUAGUUAGUAGUUGUUCUAAUGGCAAAGUUGUGGAGGCAAAAGUUCAUGGACAAAUGAUGCUCAUGUCGUCUUUCAAGACAUGCAUGGGAAUGUCCAAGCACUUGGCGUACUCACUCUCCCUGUCAUGAGAUUCUGAGCUGAGAGAAUGAACUCCAGGAGUUCAGUAAGGUGUUCAAAAGAGGAACUUCAGAUAAAAUUAAAAUUUAAUUUCACUGAGCCACAGUUCUCAUUCUUAAUGUGCACUGUCGAAAAAGCAAAGCUUGAAAUAAUGAAUUCCUUUCUUCCCUUCUCCCACAGCACAAGUGAGGCCCAGCGGCAGCUGAUUUAUUUAGAAAGGUUAACACUUUGAUGUAGCUUGUAUAAAACCCUCCUUACCAGUCAGUGAGCUUUGGGUAAAAAAAAAAAAAAAGCUGACAAUGUGACACAUACAAAAAGCAGCUAAUAGCAUUGGAGGUGUGCAUGUGAGUAAAGUAGCAUCCAUGUUUAUGUAUAGCUGGCAAUUACCCACGAGCUCAAAUGUGAUGCAGAAAUCAAUGCCCUUCUGAUUAUCAGUAUACCAAUUAGAUUGCAACCCAGCCAGCCUACCUCUUGGCUGAUAACACCCCCUCAUACAGUGGAGAAGGUCAAGCAAUUGCAUGUGAAAACCAGACAGGCAAGCCAUGGAGUUGGAACUCGGGAGGAAAGGAGGGAGGUUCAGGCAGCUGACCUUUGUGGAGUUCAUUACUGUGCAACUGUGAGUCUGCACUGAAGGAGUGUCAAGGCCGCAGUGCUGUCUCUGGCUGCCAUACAAGGGCUGCUUGCCCAUGCCUGGAAUCAAUCCAGAGCAUUAGGCACCGGCUCAGGGAGAAAUCAGGCUCACCACACAGAGCCCUUCCCCAUUCUUGGACAGGUUCCAGAGCACCAGACCCUCUCCAACAGUCACUCUCCAGAUCUGGAUGUGAUCCAAAUGUUCUAGAGGCAACUGGCUCAGGGAGAAAGAAGCAACAAUCAGAGACAGAAUACACUGACUUGCCUGGAUGUUAUCCAAUACGCAUGAUUUUUCCUAACUUGCUGGGCCUAGGAGUGAACCAAGACAAAGUAGCCCAAUAAUCUAACAGCUGACUGCCCCUUUUAUCUUGACAGCAAGGUCAGUGGAAUGGCAGCUGCUCUUCUACCAGGAGUGCUCCUCUAAACCUUGUUAACUGCCGUCGUAAUACAGCAAAUCUUUUUUUAAGAACUGUAUCUUUUGGAUUUGCAUGGUUUUUGCUUUGGGAUACAAGGUCAGGCUGCAUAAACGAACCUCUAAGACAUUCUCAGCCCCCCAGGGAGGAGGUUAAACAGGACCUUUAGGUAAGAACUACUUGAGGCCAAAGUAGAAUCGGGAAGAAAUGCCUUAGAGAGAUGUUUAUACCAUGCAGUGAACAUAGUGCUGAGAUUCCACAGCUUGCAAGGUCUUAAGCCAAUACAUGCCUAUGAUCCACAAAAAAAAAGAAUGAAGGAAAAUGAUGCGGAAGACAAAGCUGCACAAAGGUCUCUGCAACACAUUAAUAUUCAUUAGCUCCUUAAAAACCUACCUUCAAAAAUCAUCACGGAGAAGGCAAUUUCUGUCUUCUGCUACUACACAGAAGAACCAGAAUUCUCUAGUUAACCCCUCGUCCUUCACAGAAAACAACAUUAAAAGCUCUUUCCAGUUAUUUAAUUGGAGAAACAAGUAAGAUUAUGAAGUGACAAAGGUGAUUUGGAAGCAGUAAAAUGGUGGUGAGGGAAAGGGAUUGUUAAAAUCAGGCUAGACGGCAGACAUGAAACAGUGACUACACCUGUAGUGCUGCAACAAAAAGACAGAAAUGGCCAGCUAAGCAAGAAAUGCACCUGGAGCACUGAAAUGGAGUCAGAAGAUUUUUUGGAACUAGAGUUUAUGGGAAAGUAUGCCAAGAGGAACUAAUUUGAAAUCAUUAUUUCAUCUAGACCUCCCUGCUGCCACCACACGGCAACGUACUUGAUGGAAAUAAGAAACCCCAUCCUCAUCAUACCCGCUCUAAUUGCCACCUCCGUGCUACUCCCUUCUCACUGCAGACAUACAGCAAAUCAGAUUAAGAAAAGGAUUCAAACUGAUACACUAAUAUGGCAAAACACAAUUUUCAGACAUCAAAUAUCUGACCAAGUUCACACAUGGCCUCCUGAAGACUUGGGUGAGAGCAAGCACAUCCAACCAACUCACGGCCAAUGGGCUGCACGUGGCCACCUCCUGCCCCGCGCUACAAAGGAGGCAGCUCUUCCCUGAGAGUGGCCCCAGGCACAGCCCCCAUUGCUCUGCAGCAACCAAACUGUCAGAAUGUUAUUAUGAAGGUUGUGUCAACCAAAAGCAGGGCACAGGAAGGGUAGUGCUGUGCAGUGUUGGCUCAACAGCAAAUACCAGUAUGCAUUUGGAUAUACUGGCUAAACACAGGGCUCCAAGCAGUGAAGAAUACACGGCUGAGCUUUUCAUUUUGAUAUAGGAAUUUGAAAACAGGUUUCAAGAUUGCAAAAAAAAAAAGAAGUCUGCAACAUUAUUUUGAGUUGAUCUAAAUACAUUACCUGCAAAUUUUCAAACAGAACAUAUACAGUUGCAAUCAGAUAUUCAACUCCAGAAUCUGUGUCUUUUCACCAGACCUUCAUAAUCCCUCUCUUACCAGAGAGAAAUAUCCUUUGCUUCACAAUCACACCGUAUUCAUGUCAUCACUUGUUGGCAGUACACACAUUCUGAACAACUACUGUCAAGGAUGAACUAGAGGAAGUGUAAAAUUUCUUCAGAAAAUCUCUGAUGAGUAUCUUGAGACCUCACUAUGAACUGCAACCACUGCCAUCGAACCAGGGCGAUGCAUUCAUUUCACAAAGUCACAUAUCCCAUUAGUCUUAUGUUUUUGUUCCUCUCUUUUUGAAAUUGUUUUAAGAAAAAUAUUAAAAACUGUUUUGUUACUUGUAUUUUAUGAGGGCAGCUCUGAAAGUAAUGCCUCCUGUUUUAUUAUAUUGGCCCACAAUGUCAGAGGUGGAUGUUAAUGGUAUGGCAGUAGAAGGUGAACCUUCCCACCAAUACUCCCUUAGGUUUUGUUGCUGUGUGACAGAGGACAGCAGAGGGGCAGUCUGACAAAUUGGUGUCUGACACGGAAGUGUGUAUGAAGCAAAGGUGAAUCACUGAAUUCCUCCAUGAGGAAAAAGUUACACUGACAUUCACUAAUGUUUACUGAAUGUUUAUGGGGCAGUGGGUGUUGCUCCUCUGCUGGAGCAGGUUUUGAUGAGCAUGGCAUGUAGGCUCUUGUUCAUCACUGGCAAAAAUGCAGAGCUAAUGGUGAUGACUAUGUUGAAAAAUAGUGUUUUGUAGCUCUGAGAAUUUGCUCUACCAAACAGCUGCUGUGCUCUCUGUAUCUCUUGUAUUUUCCAUGUAAAUAAACAGAAAAUAUUACCUUCAGAGCAAUUUACAUAUAUGUGGCCCAAGACAAUUCCUAUUCACACAGUGCUGUCCAGGCAAGCCAAAACAUUGGACGCCCAUGGGCUAGAUAAAGAGGGAGGCUGAAGGGAAGAGCAGCUGGGUGUUGGGGCACAAGAACAGAGCUGCUGCCUCCCAUAGCCCUUUUGGCUUAUGCUGACCAAACACUUCUACAGCUACCUUGGAUACAGAGGGCAGAGCUGUAAGGAAUUGGAAGAAACAUUAGGAAGUUGAAUUUGUGGUCACCUGGGGAUACAGCUCGGCCUUCUCUCACCCACAAAAAUGAAGAAAAA